ACUCCUACGGGAGGCAGCAGUGGGGAAUAUUGCACAAUGGGGGAAACCCUGAUGCAGCCAUGCCGCGUGUGUGAAGAAGGCCUUGGGUUGUAAAGCACUUUCAGUAGGGAGGAAGGUAGUGUAGUUAACACCUGCAUUAUUUGUACGUACCUACAGAAGAAGCACCGGCUAACUCCGUGCCAGCAGCCGCGGUAAUACGGAGGGUGCGAGCGUUAAUCGGAAUUACUGGGCGUAAAGCGCAUGCAGGCGGCCUGUUAAGUCAGAUGUGAAAGCCCGGGGCUUAACCUCGGAAUUGCAUUUGAAACUGGCGAGGCUAGAGUCUUGUAGAGGGGUUAGAAUUUCAGGUGUAGCGGUGAAAUGCGUAGAGAUCUGAAGGAAUACCAGUGGCGAAGGCGGCCCCCUGGACAAAGACUGACGCUCAGAUGCGAAAGCGUGGGAGCAAACAGGAUUAGAUACCCCGUGGUAGACUGUCA
rnacentral:rRNA from 1 species